rnacentral:rRNA from 1 species
UGGGGAAUAUUGGACAAUGGGCGAAAGCCUGAUCCAGCCAUGCCGCGUGUGUGAAGAAGGUCUUCGGAUUGUAAAGCACUUUAAGUUGGGAGGAAGGGCAGUAAGCGAAUACCUUGCUGUUUUGACGUUACCGACAGAAUAAGCACCGGCUAACUCUGUGCCAGCAGCCGCGGUAAUACAGAGGGUGCAAGCGUUAAUCGGAAUUACUGGGCGUAAAGCGCGCGUAGGUGGUUCGUUAAGUUGAAUGUGAAAGCCCCGGGCUCAACCUGGGAACUGCAUCCAAAGCUGGCGAGCUAGAGUAGGGCAGAGGGUGGUGGAAUUUCCUGUGUAGCGGUGAGAUGCGUGGAUAUAGGAAGGAACACCAGUGGCGAAGGCGACCACCUGGGCUCAUACUGACACUGAGGUGCGAAAGCGUGGGGAGCAAACAGG